CCGCCCUUAGCUCAGUUGGAUAGAGCAACGGCCUUCUAAGCCGUAGGUCACUGGUUCGAAUCCAGUAGGGCGGGCCA
rnacentral:tRNA from 4 species